CCGGGCCGCUGCUUUACGGCAGCGUGCCAGGAGGGCGCCCGCUGCUUUUUGCGUAAAUAAAACUCUUCCCUUUUUCCAGCACGGCCGGCCCGCUCCGCGCCCCGAGCCGGGCACGGAGCCCCGCUCUGACCGGUAAAAGGAUGUGGCUCGGCCAGGAGACGGUCCAAGUCUGGAGAGAUGCGGGGAUGUCCUGGUCAAGUUUGGAGGGAUGCGGGGAUGUCCUGGCCAAGUCUGGAGAGAUACGGGGACACCCAGCGCUGAUCAUCGCGUGAUGGAUGUCAUAGAAAUCCUCGGGCAGAUCCACGUGAAUGCAGCGUUCCUAUAAAUUUCAUUAAGAGAUUCACCAACUCCGGACACUGAAUUGUUCUUCCUCAUCAGCAAAAAAGAAAAUCUCAUCAACCUAUAGACUCUGAAUGGAAGAAAAGACUGACUACUGAAAUCUUGGCCUCAGGUGGAAUUUUUCCUAUCAAAACCACUUGUGCUAGGAUGGAGGUGUGUGGGCACCGAGGAAAACCUCUGCUGAGGCUGACUCCUUGUUGCACGCCCAGGGCUGACCGACCCCGGGCUCAGCACUGUUCUUUCCUUGUGGACGGCCUGAUAAAAUUUGAUUGCAGAAUAAAUAUUUUAUUUUUUUAUUUUAA